GCGCUGGUAGUUCAGUGGCAGAAUCUCUGCCUUCCAAGCAGAUGACUCGGGUUCGAAUCCCGACCGGCGCA
rnacentral:tRNA from 1 species